rnacentral:rRNA from 1 species
AGCGAACGCUGGCGGCAGGCUUAACACAUGCCAGUCGAGCGGGCAUCUUCGGAUGUCAGCGGCAGACGGGUGAGUAACACGUGGGAACGUACCCUUCGGUUCGGAACAACUCUGGGAAACUGGAGCUAAUACCGGAUACGCCCUUAUGGGGAAAGGUUUACUGCCGAAGGAUCGGCCCGCGUCUGAUUAGCUAGUUGGUGGGGUAACGGCCUACCAAGGCGACGAUCAGUAGCUGGUCUGAGAGGAUGAUCAGCCACACUGGGACUGAGACACGGCCCAGACUCCUACGGGAGGCAGCAGUGGGGAAUAUUGGACAAUGGGCGCAAGCCUGAUCCAGCCAUGCCGCGUGAGUGAUGAAGGCCUUAGGGUUGUAAAGCUCUUUUGUCCGGGACGAUAAUGACGGUACCGGAAGAAUAAGCCCCGGCUAACUUCGUGC